rnacentral:lncRNA from 1 species
UUCCAAAGAAAUCCUUCAGAAUGGACUGGUUGGAUCUCCUUGCAGUCCAAAAGCAUCAAUACAUUGCAAAGGAAGAGAUUUGAGUUCUGCUCCUUGAUUCAAACCUCCUCCAAACCAAACUCCACGUUUCCCACGUACAAGACUACAGCUGAAAAGGAUCACGGAGGACACAUUUUAGGUCAACUCCCUCUUGGUUUACAAUGCAAGGGAAUGGAGAGCCUCAACAGAAGUGAUUGCUAAGGUCACAAGGCGUGCGCGUGACAAGCUGCACUCUCGGGAACCAAGACUCAGUUUCUUCUUUCCUGUGCAGCCUCCUGGGGAGGUGGGGGAGGGGCUGCCGCUGCCGGGGCCCUGGCGUUCCGGGGCGGUCCCUGGCGGCCGUGCAUUCCACAACCACCCGAGCACGGCGAGCCGGGUGCCGAGCUGCGCGUGCCGGCCACUCCUGCGCGCUCCCGCCUGCCCGCGGCUCCGAGCUACCCGGCAAGUUGACCGCCGAGGUCCGAGGGCCGGGGGUCGCAUCCCGCUGCUGGAGCCCGCCGUCCCCAGGACAUCUAGAGAAGCGUUCCAGCUGCCUCUGCCCCAGAAACUUUUCGCAGACCUGGCACGAUCUAGCAGCGGCGGUGGCCGCGGGUUUUCAAAGCAGCUGCGCGGAUCUCGGAAACCCAGAAAAUAUUUCCAAGGACAGAGGAUCUUUAUCUUGACUGUCUUACACUGUCGCUAUUGGCAGUGGUAUCAAAGACAGGCACAUGUCCUCCCACUCACAGUUUGUAAGAGUAAACACUAGUAUUACCACACCCUGCUGACCUCUGCCCGGUUGGCCAGGUAAGCUGAAUAAUGUAACAAUAAUAAUAUUUGCUGUUGUUUAGUUGCUAAGUUGUGUCCGACUCUUUUGUGACCCCAAGGAGUGUAGCCCGCCAGGCUCCUCUGUCCAUGGGAUUUCGCAGGCAAGAACACUGGAAUGGGUUACCAUUUCCUUCUCAGAGGAUAUUCCUGAUCCAGGGAUCGAACAUGCAUCUCCUGCAUUGGCAGCGGAUUCUUUACCACUGAGCCACCUGACAUUUACUAAGUGCUUGCUAUUAGCCAGGUAUUAUUCUAAGCAUUUUAUAUGUAUUAACUCAUUUAGUCUUUCAGUUCAGUUCAGUUCAGUUCAGUUGCUCAGUCGUGUCCGACUCU